GGCGGGUGGAUUAGGCAUGCAAGUCGAGCGAUCGUAGCAAUACGGGAGCGGCAAACGGGGUAGGAAUACAUCGGAACGUACCUUCUGGUUGGGAAUAGCGUUGGGAAACUGACGGUAAUACGUCAAUAAAGUCGAGAGACCAAAGGUUUACUGCCGGAAGAGCGGCCGAUGCGAUAUUAGGUAGUUGGUGGGGUAAUGGCCUACCAAGCCUGAGAUGUCUAGGGGGUGUGAGAGCAUGGCCCCCACCACUGGGACUGAGAGACUGCCCAGACACCUACGGGUGGCUGCAGUCGAGGAUCUUCGUCAAUGGGCGAAAGCCUGAACGAGCGACGCCGCGUGCGGGAUGAAGGCCCUUGGGUUGUAAACCGCUGUCAGGGGGGAUGAAACCGUAAGGUUGACAGAGCCCCAGAGGAAGCACGGGCUAAGUUCGUGCCAGCAGCCGCGGUAAUACGAACUGUGCGAACGUUACUCGGAAUCACUGGGCUUACAGGGUGCGUAGGUGGCUUGAUAAGCAGGGUGUGAAAUCCCUCGGCUCAACCGAGGAACUGCGCUCUGAACUGUCGGGCUAGAGUAUGCUAGAGGUGAAUGGAACAUCC
rnacentral:rRNA from 1 species